rnacentral:rRNA from 1 species
GACAGAGGGUGCAAACGUUGUUCGGAAUUACUGGGCGUAAAGCGCGUGUAGGCGGCUAUGUAAGUCGGGCGUGAAAUCCCACGGCUCAACCGUGGAAGUGCACCCGAAACUGCGUAGCUAGAGUCCUGGAGAGGAAGGUGGAAUGCUUGGUGUAGAGGUGAAAUUCGUAGAUAUCAAGCGGAACACCGGUGGCGAAGGCAGGUCUCUGGGCCACUACUGACGCUGAGAAGCGAAAGCGUGGGGAGCGAACAGG